rnacentral:rRNA from 1 species
GUGACCGGAACGUAUUUAUUAGAUAUUAGACCAAUCGCAGCAAUGUGAUUGAGAUGAAUCAAAGUAACUGAUCGAAUCGUAGCUUGCUACGAUAAAUCAUCUAAGUUUCUGCCCUAUCAGCUCUCGAUGGUAGUGUAUUGGACUACCAUGGCAGUCACGGGUAACGGAGAAUUAGGGUUCGAUUCCGGAGAAGGAGCCUGAGAAACGGCUACUACAACUACGGUUAGGCAGCAGGGAAGAAAAUUGGCCAAUCCUAAUUCAGGGAGCCAGUGACAAGAAAUAGCAAGCUGGGAAACUCAGUUUCUACGGCAUUGAAAUGAGAAAAGUGUUAAUCUCUUAGCGAGGAACAAUUGGAGGGCAAGUCAUGGUGCCAGCAGCCGCGGUAAUUCCAGCUCCAAUAGCGUAUAUUAAAGUUGUUGCAGUUAAAAAGCUCGUAGUUGAACUUCUGUUUAGGUUCAUUUCGACUCGUCGAGUGAAACUAGACAUACGUCUGCAAACUAAAAUCGGCCUUCACUGGUUCGACUUAGGGAGUAGACAUUUUACUGUGAAAAAAUUAGAGUGUUUCAGGCAGGUUUUAGCCCGGAUACAUUAGCAUGGAAUAAUGGAAUAGGACUAAGUCCAUUUUAUUGGUUCUUGGAUUUGGUAAUGAUUAAUAGGGACAGUUGGGGGCAUUAGUAUUUAAUAGUCAGAGGUGAAAUUCUUGGAUUUAUUAAGGACUAACUAAUGCGAAAGCAUUUGCCAAAGAUGUUUUCAUUAAUCAAGAACGAAAGUUAGGGGAUCAAAGACGAUCAGAUACCGUCGUAGUCUUAACUAUAAACUAUACCGACUCGGGAUCGGCUGGAAUAUAUGUCCAGUCGGCACCGUAUGAGAAAUCAAAGUCUUUGGGUUCUGGGGGAAGUAUGGUACGCAAGUCUGAAACUUAAAGGAAUUGACGGAACAGCACACCAGAAGUGGAACCUGCGGCUUAAUUUGACUCAACACGGGGAAACUCACGAGCGCAAGACAGAGAAGGGAUUGACAGAUUGAGAGCUCUUUCUUGAUUCUUUGGGUGGUGGUGCAUGGCCGUUCUUAGUUGGUGGAGUGAUUUGUCUGGUUAAUUCCGUUAACGAACGAGACCUUAACCUGCUAACUAGUCUGUCUGUGAAUAACAGAUUGUACUUCUUAGAGGGACUAUUGUGCAAGAAGCCAAUGGAAGUUUAAGGCAAUAACAGGUCUGUGAUGCCCCUAGACGUGCUCGGCCGCACGCGCGUUACAAUGACUGGCUCAGAAAGUAUUUCCUGUCCUGAGAAGGUACGGGUAAUCUUAUUAAUACCAGUCGUGUUAGGGAUAGUUCUUUGGAAUUUUGGAUCUUGAACGAGGAAUUUCUAGUAAGUGCAAGUCAUCAGCU